GUUGCCGAGUCGACUCCGGAAAAGCUUGAGUCGACUCCCGCUACAGCCGAGUCGACUCCUGAUCGCGCGAGUCGACUCCAACCCACCAACGGUCACAUUGUCAGGCUGCGCAGAGUGUGCAGAACGGGCAGAAAAAGCAGUGUAACGGCUAGUUUCCGUGGGGGUUGGCUUAAAUAGCCACAGAAGACUGUAGCAAGGGAGAGAACACACUUUCCACUCCAAGCAUUCAAGCUUUCAAGCUCUCCAAGUGCUCUUCAACGAGAAAAAGGGAAGAUCUGCAUUUACUGCUCC
rnacentral:lncRNA from 1 species